rnacentral:tRNA from 1 species
GAUGAAGUGGCUGAUUUAAAGCGAUAAACUGUAAAUUUAUAAAUGAAUUUUUUUCCUUCAUUA